rnacentral:rRNA from 1 species
GGGAUUAGUGGCGAACGGGUGAGUAACACGUGAGUAACCUGCCCUUGACUCUGGGAUAAGCCUGGGAAACUGGGUCUAAUACCGGAUACGACCAUCUGGCGCAUGUCAUGGUGGUGGAAAGCUUUUGUGGUUUUGGAUGGACUCGCGGCCUAUCAGCUUGUUGGUGGGGUAAUGGCCUACCAAGGCGACGACGGGUAGCCGGCCUGAGAGGGUGACCGGCCACACUGGGACUGAGACACGGCCCAGACUCCUACGGGAGGCAGCAGUGGGGAAUAUUGCACAAUGGGCGCAAGCCUGAUGCAGCGACGCCGCGUGAGGGAUGACGGCCUUCGGGUUGUAAACCUCUUUCAGUAGGGAAGAAGCGAAAGUGACGGUACCUGCAGAAGAAGCGCCGGCUAACUACGUGCCAGCAGCCGCGGUAAUACGUAGGGCGCAAGCGUUAUCCGGAAUUAUUG